rnacentral:tRNA from 1 species
AGUUCCUGCCUGGUCUCUCUCCAAGGUCUGCGGCCUGAAAAGCCGCCGUUGUAGUCCUCAACCACAGGAAC